rnacentral:lncRNA from 1 species
GAUAGCAUUUCAGAGACAAGGUGGUGUAAGAAUACCUUCUAGUUCAUCAACAUAAUGCGCCCAAAUAUUUUCCCCAUAAAGACGCUUCCACAGCAUCAUAGCUUGACCAGGUCUGAAUCCACGAGAUUGAACCCAUUUCUGGCAUAGUGGAUUCCCACAAUUAUUACUUGGAAAACUUUAACAUAAAAUUAUAUAUAAAUUCUCAUAUUUGGAAUAUUAGAAUUUAUUUUGAAUUUCUAGUCUAGCUAGCUUGUACCACAGUUUAAAAUUAUAUACUUUUUUGAGUUUAGCAUAGGAAGAAAAAGAGAGUAGAAAAACACACUUCAAGCUCAAUGUAAUUCAUUCCCUUAAGAAGCCCCUUUGAACCCUUGGUUAGAAUAGCAUUCAUGUAUCUACUUCCUACACAAAUAAACAGCCAUAAAACAAAUAAAUAAAUAAAAUGGGAGCUCGAAAAACAACAUAUGUUACUAGGAAACGAUUUAUCUGCUUACCCAUAUCAACAGGAAGUAGUAACGAUGAACAAGCGGCGGUCGAAACGGAACGACGCACGGAAGAGAAAAGAGAAGUGAGGUGGAGAUGGAGAUUGGGCGGUGUCGGUGAUGAAGAGAGUUGUUUUAGAGAGGAAAGAGAGAGAUGAGAUCGAUUAGGGUAAGGAAUUGAGAGCGAAGCAGAUGAGGAGGCCAUGGAAGGGUGAUUUACAAGAACCACUGACCGCACGCGCCUCAUCCACAUACAACCCAUCUCCAUUCUCUAAUUUCUCGAAGCACGAACGUGUAAAAUGUUCCCAAGAUGAAAAUAUAUAUCAGCUUUCUUAUAUAAUUCUUAUAACGCGUGUGAAAAUAAUUUAUUUCAAAAUAUUUAUUAUAUUAUUAUUUUAAUUAAUAAUUUUUUUUAAAAAAUUAGUAUUAAGUUAAAAAUAAUAUAGUUAAUUUAUUUAAUAAUUUGAAAUUUUAAAUGUGAAAAGUAUUAUAGACUAGAGAUAGUAUAAAAUAGCUAAACUAGAAAGGUUCAGUUGGUUUUCUAGGUAUGGUUAUUGGUUCGGUUUGAACCAGAAUCAAAUUGUACUGCACAUGAACUGCUACCGGAUUGCACAGAUGGUUCAAAAUUUUGAACCAGAACUGAGGGUCACCGACUGGUUCAAUCCAUGUCAACACGUUAAAAAAUAAACUUGAAUCCGUAUCGUUGGUUCAAAAUUUUAAAUCAUAACUGGAUUCAAAGACUGGUUCCAAUUCAUGUCAAUGUUAAAAAAUAAACACGAAUCGGAAUGGAAUUGACGAUUAAAUCCGAUUCAAACAGAAGAUUCUAUUUUUAUUUUGAAAAGUUUAUAAUCAUCUACUCAUAAAUAAAUUUUGUCAUGGUACACUUGAUAAAAUUAGAAAAAAAAAAGUGAAAUACUUAUUCAAAUUUAGUCUGCAUGGAAGUUUAACAGUGUUUUUUUCUUCUAAAUUUUUUUUACUUAGUCCAAAAUUACAUUAUUUAAAAUAUUUUUUAAAUUUAUCAAACAAUUUAUUUAAUUAAUAACGUUUAGAUAAAAUAAAAUUUUGAUUUAUUUGAUUAUUUCAUAUUUAUUUGUAAAACUAAUGAAUUUUAUUUCUUAUAAAAAUAUAAAUACUCUAACCAUUGUUUAAAAUAAAAUUUACAAAUAUUUGUUUAAUUCACAUUAAUUUUUUCCGGAAAAUGACGUAAUUCUGAUUCCAUGUUUCAAAAGCCGGUUUAAAUUCAACAUUUUAAAAAUUGUAGGAGACCCCUCAAUCAUAAGAAUUUUGUACAUUGGACUAAGAGAAUUCCAAUCUAUUUUGAAAAAUUAUCACAGAAAGAAAUCGUCACCACAUAGAAUUCCAAUCUAUCUCACCCAAAAAUUGGAUAUUUAUGUUUUUUUUUUAUGAACUUCAAAUUAUGUUUACGAAAAUAACUUCCAUCCUUACUUGUUAAUAUAAUAAUAUGGAAAAAAUAAUAUGCAUUUUCAAAAUAUAAAAUGGACAACAAAUUAAACAUAUUUUUCAAUGUAAAAUUUUCCUUUAUUAUUCUAUUAAAUGUGUUAAGUACAUGUCUUUGAAUAGAUUGAUAUAUUGGUCCAAUGUUCUAAAAUUAUAGCAAAAUCCUUCAAUUAAGCUAUAGGUGCCCUGCUGGUUAUGGAAUUUUGAGGUAUCUAAAUGGACGAUGGCAACCGUUUGGAAGAUAAUUUCACCAAAUCCAAAGUUACUUAUCUUCAACGACCAAAAUCCGAAGUUGCAUAGCAUCAAGGAUUCUCCUUUCUCCUUUGGUCUGCCUAGAUGGCCAUUUUUCUUUCUCCUUCAAGCGUACAAUCUGUCCCCACAUUUGUUUCUGAAGAUUGUUUCCACAUCAAGAUGGUCCUUUCUCCUUACCAAGCGUAGACGAUGAAUCCAACCCUCAUGGCCUGUCUUCAUUUUCGACGAAAGAGAAAAUAAUUAAACAAAAGAAAUGAUAUGUUCAACCAGAAAGGAAGAACCAGAAGAUGAAGAUUCUCAAACCACGAUUGAAUCAAGUGUAAAAAACCAUGGAGGCAAUCUUCAAGAAUUAAUCACCUAGGAUUAAACUUUUCAACCAUAUUUUACUAACCAUGGAACGUUGACUAGAAACAUGAAUUAAACCGGAAAAGGUGGGACUCAAAUCACUUGAUUGUAUAAAAGGAGCACCAAAAUCUAAAAUCAGUGUUUAAGCGUUAAAGAAAGCCGAACUGAAUAACUCUUCACAAAACAAUUUUUUUAAAAGAGAACCUGUCAAAUAUCUACAAUUCAUUUCUCAUACAGAUGAAAUUCAUUCAACAUAAUAAGAAACUCAAAACAGAAUCAUAAAAUUAUGAAUAUUUUUUAGAGGCUCUGAUUGUGCAUUUGUCAAACAAACGGGAUAAUAAAGAAAAACUAUGGUAGCAAUCACAGAAGAUCGUAACAGAAACAGAAUUUUCUACAGGAUGAUUAGUUUCACAGUAGCAAAGCAAAUAUUAAUAAAAUCAAGAUUAAUACCAAUCCGAAAAGGAAUUUGAAAUAUGGAAAUAGACAGUCUAAAAAUCCAAAGGCAGAAAGAAAAACAAAAAGGAUUGACAAAAAAAAGAUCAAUAUAAAUUUGAAAGCCAGAUGCUUUAACAUGAGAAAUAAACAUCCUAAUUCCUAAAAGUCUGCAUGCCAUUUUUCAACAAAAACUCAAUUUUUUUUUUGUCAAACAAAAAAAGAAAGAGAGAACAAUACCUUUGUUGCAAUAAUAAAGAAAGACUAACAAACAAACAAUACGAGACACUCGUUUACAACCUUUGAGUAAAGAAAAAAGAAAUAAGAUUCGAGUCGAGUCAAAUUAAAUAAAAAAAAAAAACUGCCCCACCACAGUUUUGUCCCUUCAAAAUGCUUGAUUUGUAUUUAACAUCAUCACAGCCGACAAGAACUCAAGAUUUAAGUAAAGCGUAAAUUUUCAAUUUUUUAUGAUAAUUUCAGAAAAACAAAAGAAAAAUUCAUCAGAUUUAAUUAAUUUAACUAAAUUCAAGAUUCAAUCAUUUAUAUUGCAAAAAAGUGAACUAAUCAUUCAGAAUUUGAAAUAAUUCGUAGCACCUAUUGUCAGAAAGAAAGAAAAUAGGAGGAAAAUGUGGGAUCAGAUUUUCUCAUCAUUUUCCAAUUAGUGUACAUAAUUAGAAAAUAAUUAUAGGGGGAGAAUAAUUCUCUUUUUAUUGUUUAUUUCUUUCCUUGUAUAAACUUGUACCUUAGCUAUAUUAAAACGUUGUAAAGCAGCAGAAUAGAACAAUCAAUACAAUUCCUCCAAAUUAUGUCUCAAAUAAUAUUGCUUAACAUGGUAUCAGAGCAAGUUCAAUGAUUCUAGGAUCAAACAGUUGCAAUUGCUCAUCAUUUACCAACUUACCAAUAGAAAUCCGGUCACCAUGUCCGAAGACGACAACUCCUCAUCAGCCACCAGUGUACCAACCCAGAAGACUCCGGCUACCAUGUCUGAAGACGGCAACUUGGAGAAACAGUAUGGCAUCAGCAACGAUGACCUGACAAUUCAAUUAGCAAAUCUCAUAAAAAAUGGCCUCAGUAACCAAAACCAAAAACAAACCCUUUCAGAUAAUUUAAUCAUCAGCUCAAAUUAAACAGCCAAAAUUAUGUGUUAUGGGCAUGCAUGAUUAAGGUUGCAAUUGAAUAUCUAAGGCCUUGUUGAGCCACCUCACUGGAAUUCCAGCGCCACCAUAGAUCGGCGAUGAGAAAUACGAGAAAUGGGAACAAGACGAUCUCAUCGUGUUUUCAUGGUUAAUUCAAAAUAUUGAACCCCAAUUGGCAAGCAAUCUGACCGAAUUUCCUACAGCAAAAGCAUUAUGGAAUGCUCUUGUUACAACGUACAGCAGUGGCAGGGACAAAUUACAAACUUUUGAUCUUCAUUCAAGGGAAAAUGGUAUAAAACAAAAUGGAGCCCCUUUAGAAGAUUUCUGAAUUACCAUGCAAGGAGUAUGGGGCAAGAUUGACCGCCGGGAACCAAAUCCAAUGACCUCAGAAGCAGACAUAGCCACAUACAACAGAAUACGUCAAGAACAAAAACUGUUCCAGUUCCUGAAUGCAAUCGAUCAUGAAUAUAAUCAAAUAAAAAGAGAAAUUUUAAGGCAAGAUUCGUUACCCUCACCGGAAGCCGCCUACGCCACCGUUAGGAAAAAGGCAGCCCGCCUCAACAUUUUAGGACCGGCUUCUGGAAUCUCGUCACAAUAGGGCAUAGGCAGCGGAUUGAUUGCAACCGGGACUGAAGCCAUGGGAAUGGCAACACAGGGACAGCGACGGUCAGGCUCCGCCGGCGAGCCAGGCAGAUCAUCAUUCCGUUCAGACAAGGCAAAACUCAAGUGUACUCACUGUGGGAUGAGUAAACACACGAAGGAGAAUUGUUUCCGGAUUGUGGGAUAUCCCGAUUGGUGGAACGAUGACAUAAAAGGGACGGACAAGCCACAGGAGGUAAAGUCGCCAUCACCGUGAGCAGCCCUAAGGCUACCAGCAGCGGUGACGGUGGCCAAGGAGGCGUCGGAGAUGGAGGCAGUGUUGGACGAGCUAUGGCUGCUAGGGCUGAAGAAAGUGGUAAUACAGGUUAUAAAGGUAAAGGGUUUGGGAAUUUCUUCCUAAGCCCUUCCAAUUUGGACAAAUUAUUUUCUACCCUAAACCUAUUACAAAUUGACCCAAAAAGAUCUUUGUCUAUUGCAAAUAUGGUCCAAAAUUUUGAUAACAGUAAGAGUGCAUCAUGGAUUUUUGAUUGUGCCGCCACUGACACCAUGACAUUUGAUGCCAACGAUAUUAAAAUACAGUCCAAACCCACAAAGACACAUGUAGGAGCAGCCAAUGGGGGAAUAGUUCCUGUAGAGGGAACCGGGUCUAUUGAAAUAUUACCCACACUAAAACUGUCAAACUGUCUUUAUGUCCCUUCACUUUCACAUAAAUUAUUGUCUAUUAGUCAUGUAACAAAGGAACUUAAUUGUAUUAUGCUAAUGACACCCACUUUCUGUAUACUGCAGGACAUCAAGACAGGAACGAUUAUUGGACGUGGCACUGAGCGCCAAGGACUGUACUACGUGGAUGAAGUUGUCCAACACGGUACUGUGAUGUUAGCACAUGGAACUGCGGAUCGAGAAGCUUGGCUUUGGCACCAAAGAUUAGGACAUCCAUCCACUGGUUAUUUACAUCUUUUAUUUCCUAAACUCUUUAAAUCCAAUAAAAUAUUACAUUGUGAGACUUGUGUUUUGGCGAAAAGCCACAGACAAACUUUCAGGCCAAAUAAUACUAGGGUUGAUUUACCUUUUUCAUUAGUCCAUUCUGAUGUGUGGGGUCUAGCACCUGUCAUGGGAGGGAAAGGUUUUCGUUAUUUCUCGAUAUUUGUGGAUGAUUGUACUCGCAUGACGUGGGUAUAUUUUUUGAAAAACAAGUCAGAGGUUGUUGAUAAAUUUAUACUAUUUUAUACCAUGAUCCAAACCCAAUUUACUAAGUCAAUUCAAAUUUUAAGAUCCGACAACGGGGGAGAAUUUGUCAACACAACCAUGAAACAAUUUUAACAACAAAAAGGAUUAGUACACCAAACUACUUGUCCUCAUACUCCUGAGCAAAAUGGUGUUGCCGAACGAAAAAAUAGGAUUCUCCUUGAAAUGACCCGAGCUCUUCUUAUUGAGUCUCGGGUCCCUAAAGUUUUUUGGCCUGAAGCUUUAGCCACUGCCACCUACCUUCCAAAUAGACUCCCAACCUAAAUCCUUGACCUUCAAACUCCAAUCCAAACCCUAGCCAAAUUUACCAAAAUUCUCCCGACCUUAACUCUUCAACCACGAAUUUUAGGUUGCUCUGUAUUUGUCCACAUUCCGAAAACUGAAAGAACUAAAUUUGACCCAUGUGCAAAAAAAUGUGUAUUUGUUGGGUACGGGGUUAAUCAAAAGGAGUACCGAUGCUAUAAUCCUAAAACUUAUCAUAUGUUCACCACAAUGAACUGUGAUUUCCUUGAAACCGAAUACUUUUAUACUACCCAAUCCAGUGGUCAGGGGGAGAAGGAAUUAUGGACACAUUGAGUUGGCUUCCAGAACCAGUGUUCCCACAGGUGAAAUUGGAUCUUCAGAAAGAGAACCCAUGAGUGACAGUAGUAGAACAAGAAGAAAACAAUAUUGUUAGGCCAACUUCUGAUACUUCCAUACAGUCUACGGAGCCUAGUGUCUCAGAAAAUACUAUUCUUAACCUGGUGUCUGAGGUAAGAGAAACUGAAGAUCCUAACUCUCCUGUUAUUUCCACUAAUCCUGGUGACUGUGAAACUGUAGCAGAACAGGUGGCAGAGCAGGAAGAACAAUAUGUAUUACCACCCAGAGCCAAUAGGGGAGUUCCACCUAACAGAUACUCUCCAGAAAAAGAGGCUCGGAGGUCCAGAUAUCCGGUAGCAAACAUAGCCAGAGGAAGUCUAUCCAGAGAAGCCAAAGCAUUCAUCUCAGCUCUGUAUGAGGAAAAGAUCCCGACCAUAGUGGAACAUGCCUUGACAUCAGAAAAAUGGACCAAUGCAAUGAAGGAGGAAAUGAAUGCUUUAAUCCAGAACCACACAUGGGAGAAAUGUGCCUUACCGACAGGAAAGAAACCAGUUGGGUGUCGCUGGGUCUUCAUGAUAAAGCAUAAGCCAGAUGGUUCCAUUGAAAGGUACAAGGCACGGUUAGUGGCAAAAGGAUACACCCAGACUUAUGGCAUUGAUUACUCAGAGACUUUUUUACCGGUAGCAAAAAUUGAUACUAUCAGGGUAUUGUUGUCACGCCCCGACUCUAAUCACCAGAGGAAUUAUCCGCUUUGGUGUAGUCCACGAACGCCCUACACCUCAAUGUAGUCCCCGCACACCCUACCCACACGGUUUUAUCCCGCAGGUGAAAUGGGAAACUUCCCAGGAGGUCACCCAUCCUGAGAUUUCCGUUAAGCGAGCACGCUUAACCCUGGAGUUCUUCCAACUCUCCAGCCAUUCCACCAAAAGACGCCUCUAAUGAUUAGUUUCCCCCUUUUCGAUAUAUGAUUCGAUUCAUUCCUGUGUCCCGCAUUCCACUACCCUAGCUAGCCUGCCAUCCUAGGAUCGCUUUGCCGGGUCGGGAUGUCACNNNNNNNNNNNNNNNNNNNNNNNNNNNNNNNNNNNNNNNNNNNNNNNNNUCUGAUACCAACUGUCAUGCCCGACUCUAAUCACCAGAGGAAUUGUCCGCUUUGGUGUAGUCCACGGACGCCCUACACCUCAGUGUAGUCCCCGCACACCCUACCCGCACGGUUUUGUCCCGCAGGUGAAAUGGGAAACUUCCCAGAAGGUCACCCAUCCUGAGAUUUCCGUUAAGCGAGCACGCUUAACCCUGGAGUUCUUCCAACUCUCCAGCCAUUCCACCAAAAGGCGCCUCUAAUGAUUAGUUUCCCCCUUUUCGAUAUAUGAUUCGAUUCAUUCCUGUGUCCCGCAUUCCACUACCCUAGCUAGCCUGCCAUCCUAGGAUCGCUUUGCCAGGUCGGGAUGUCACAAUUGUUCUCAGUAGCAGCAAACAAGGGAUGGCCACUUCACCAGUUUGAUGUGAAGAAUGCUUUUCUGCAUGGGGAUCUGAAAGAAGAAGUUUAUAUGGAGGCUCCACCAAGUUUCACAGAGGAAUUCCAGAAAGGAGAAGUGUGUCGGUUGAAGAAGUCACUUUAUGGACUUAAGCAGUCACCUAGAGCCUGGUUUGGUAAGUUUACAUGAGCAAUGAAGGGAUAUGGGUUCAAACAGAGCAAUUCCGAUCAUACUCUAUUCCUGAAGCGGAGAGGCAGACUUGUAAUGUGUUUGAUCAUUUAUGUUGAUGACAUGAUCAUUACAAGAGAUGACAUGUAAGAAAUGACCAAGCUAAGGGAAAACCUGUUCACAGAAUUUGAAAUGAAAGACCCAGGAAGGUUGAAGUAUUUUCUCGGAAUUGAGGUUUUGAGAUCAAAACAAGGGAUUUUUCUAUGUCAGAAGAAAUACAUUUUGGAUCUUUUGGCAGAGACGAGAAUGAUCGAUUGUAAACCGGCUGACACACCAAUGGUGGUGAAUCAUGGACUGAAGAUAGUGGAAGGAGCAGAACUAGCAGAUAAGGAGAGGUAUCAAAGGUUGGUUGGAAAAUUGAUAUAUCUCUCACAUACUCGGCCAGAUAUAGCUUAUGCAGUUGGAGUAGUGAGCCAGUUCAUGCAUCAACCUCAGAUAGACCAUAUGGAAGCCGUGUGGAGGAUUGUAAGGUAUCUAAAGGGGACAUAUGGACGUGGUGUUCUAUUCAAAGCACAUGGACACCUAGAAUACAGGGGUAUACUAACACCGACUGGGAGGCAAUCCAGUGGACCGCAGAUCUACUUCAGGAUAUUUUACUCUUGUGGGGGGGGUAACUUAGUCACAUGGAGGAGCAAAAAUCAAAAAGUUGUAGCUUUGUCCAGUGAAGAGGUUGAAUUUCAAGGAGUGGCACGAGGCUUGGCAGAAAUAUUCUGGUUACGAAAAUUGCUAACUGAAAUUGGGUUUCCACCAUCUGAGGCUUGCAAGAUAAUGUGCGAUAAUCAGGCAACAAUUAGUAUCUUAGAAAAUCCAGUACAACAUGAUCGGACAAAACACGUAGAAGUUGAUAGACACUUCAUAAAAGAGAAGUUAGAUGCAGGUAUUGUAGAACUAACUUUCGUACGCUCUGAAGAUCAACUAGCAGAUAUAUUAAUGAAGGCAGUGAACGGAAGGAUCUUCAAUGAAGUUUUGGGCAAGUUGAGUAUUGGCAACCCCACUACUCAACUUGAGGGGGAGUGUCAGAAAGAAAGGAAAUAUGAGGAAAAUGUGGGAUCAGAUUUUCUCAUCAUUUCCCAAUUAGUGUACAUAAUUAGAGAAUAAUCUUUUUAUUGUUUAUUUCUUUUCUUGUAUAAACUUGUACCUUAGCUAUAUUAAAACGUUUUAAAGCAGCAGAAUAGAACAAUCAAUACAAUUCCUCCAAAUUAUGUCUCAAAUAAUAUUGCUUAACACCUGCAUAGUAAUCGCAAAGCUUAAAACCAACAAAUGAAAAAAAAAGGGAAAAAGAAAAAGGAAGGUCCUCACCAAUUUCAAGCGAUUAAUCAAAUUUUGAAGAGAUAGGUCCUUUUUUUUUCCUUGAAUUGACCAAUUUCAGGCGUUUUUUCCUUUUUCAGAAGGGAGAGAGAUUGAGACGAAGGUGAAGAGAUCAAGAGAGAGGUAGUUAGUACUUAAUAUGAAGAAGAGGCGUGGUCGUGGAGAGAUAGUGAGCUGUGGGCUUUACCAUAUAAAUGGACCCUGGAAGUUGGAAUACGUACGGUCUUUAAGAUUAGGGAUUUUUGUUUCUUUGUUUUCUUCAAAUGAUUAUAAAAAUAAUUGAAUAAAUGAAAUUAAAGGACUAACACUAAAAUUAAAUAAAAAUUUUACUUCUUUUCCAUUUUAUGGUAACUACGCAAAAUAGUACAUUUUCAGUCGACAUAUAACUAGAGAGCUACAUUAUUUCAAAAAAGAAUUACAUAAGUAAAUUAUCGUGCUCUUUUAUAAUAUGACAUCUUAUGAUUUCAAUUAUAUUAUUGAAUCUCUCUUGUAGUUUGCUAAUUAAACGGUAGAUCUCUUCACGUGAAUUAUAUAUUACUUUAGCGAACAAAGAGGCCCAUAAAAUUAAAAUAAUCCAACCAAAAAUUGGGACAACGAUAAAUAAAAGUGCAACUAUGGCCAAUCCAAGAGCAAAUAAGCCAACUUUGCUAAUAAUUGAAUUGAAGGAGUUCCAAGCUUGAAAGAUAAUUCCAAACCCAUAUGUGAAUAGAGCAAGAAGAAAGAUUGUUAAUAUAAAGUGUGUGUCUGUAUCAACCAAAGACUUGAUUUGAAUGAGGCCAAUUAAACUUGCUAUGGUCAAGGUGAAAACAUUAUGCACUGCCUUCACAUUUCCCCUGAAAAGAAAAAUGAAAUAAAUAAACUAUUAGAAGGCUUUAGCACGUUUCAAUUUAACUGUAAUUGAUAAGGAUAAAGAAAGUUGCAUAAAUUUUAUAGACUGAGCAAUAAUUGCAAAAUGGAUAAAAAGUUUGGAAGAGUUUUGAAUAAGCUUUCAUGAAUUGUAAUAAAGAUUGAUAGCUUGAAAUGAUAAGAGAAGUGAAUCAAAUACUGAAACACUUGAAGAUACAAUAAAAAGUUUGACAACCCAAUGUUUAAUGAUACUAACCUUUCGAUUGGCAUUUUCUUUUAAAUUCUUCGUGCUUGCUAUUUUUAGUUGCAAGAGCUCCUUUAAUAGACAAACAUGAAAAUAUCAAGUUCUACCCCACUUCUUUUUGUUUCUCACAUUCAUUUUAUCCUUGACCCUUUUUGCAUCUCACAAUGUCGUUUCAUAUAAGUCGACUUUCCAGUCAUAAUUAUAUUGUCGACUUUAUUCGACACAUAAUAAUACGAAAUUUUUUCAUAGCAGGUUGUGAUGGGCUGUUGAUUCUUGGAAUCAAUUUUCCAAGCCCAACCUCAUUACCUUAUUGUUGGAAUUUAGAGAUACUAAUAAGUGUGUAGAAGUGUUGACACCUGUUUCUAUAACUUAUCAAAGACAAAAUUCAUAAGGCUCAGCAUGUCUCUCUUGUUGGAAGAGAGAUUCAAUUUUGCACAUAGUUAGGGACAUAAAAUCAUUUAUCUCACUGAAAAGGCUAUAAAACCGGACAAUAGAUAGCAUUUCAGAGACAAGGUGGUGUAAGAAUACCUUCUAGUUCUAGUUCAUCAACAUAAUGCGCCCAAAUAUUUUCCCCAUAAAUACGCUACCACAGCAUCAUAGCUUGACCAGGUCUGAAUCCAUGAGAUUGAACCCAUUUCUGGCAUAGUGGAUUCCCACAAUUAUUACUUGGAAAACUUGAACAUAAAAGUAUACAUAAAUUCUCAUGUUUGGAAUAUUAGAAUUCAUUUUGAAUUUCUAGCCUAGCUAGCUUGUACCACAGUUUAAAAUUAUAUACUUUUUUGAAUUUAGCAUAGGAAGAAAAAGAGAGUAGAAAAACACACUUCAAGCUCAGUGUAAUUCAUUCCCUUAAGAAGCACCUUUGAACCCUUGGUUAGAAUAGCAUUCAUGUCUCUAAUUCCUACACAAAUAAACAGCCACAAAACAAAUAAAUAAAUAAAAUGGGAGCUCGAAAAACAACAUAUGUUACUAGGAAACGAUUUAUCUGCUUACCCAUAUCAACAGGAAGUAGUAACGAUGAACAAGCUGCGGUCGAAACGGAACGACGCGCGGAAGAGAAAAGAGAAGUGAGGUGGAGAUGGAGAUUGGGCGGCGUCGGUGAUGAAGAGAGUUGUUUUAGAGAGGAAAGAGAGAGAUGAGAUCGAUUAGGGUAAGGAAUUGAGAGCGAAGCAGAUGAGGAGGCCAUGGAAGGGUGAUUUACAAGAACCACUGAUCGCACGCGCCUCAUCCACAUACAACCCAUCUCCGGUCUCCGAUUUCUUGUAGCCCGAAAGUAGUACAUGUUCAUUUGAUGAAAAUAUAUAUUAACAUCAUCACAGCCGACAAGAACUUAAGAUUUAAGUAUAGCGGAAAUUUUCAAUUUUUUAUGAUAAUUUCAGAAAAACAAAAGAAAAAUUCAUCAGAUUUAAUUAAUUUAACUAAAUUCAGGAUUCAAUCAUUAUUGCUAAACAGUGAACUGAUCAUAAAAGUGAAUUGAUCAUUCAGAAUUUGAAAUAAUCCGUAGCACCUGUAUAGUAAUCGCAGAGCUUAAAACCAACAAAUGAAAAAAUAAAGGGAAAAAGAAAAAGGAAGGUUCUCACCAAUUUCAAGCGAUUAAUCAAAAUUUGAAGAGAUAGGUUCUUUCUUGAAUAGACCAAUUUCAGGCGUUUUUUCCUUUUUGCAGAAGGGAAAAAGAAAUUGAGACGAAGAAGAAGAGAUCAAGCGAGAGACUUAGUAGGAAGGAGAGGCGUGGUCGGGUCGGGUCGUGGAGAGAUAGUAAGAUUAGGGUUUUUUUUUUUUUUUGUUUUUUUCAAAUGAUUAUGAAAAUAAUUGAAUAAAUGAAAUUAAAGGAUGAACACUGAAAUUAAAUAAGAUUUUUAUUUCUUUUCUAUUUUAUGGUAACUAUACAAAAUAGCACAUUUACAAUCCAUGUGUACCUAAAGAGCUACAUUAUCUCAAAAAAAGAAUCACACAGGUAAAAUAUUGUGCUCUUCUGUAACAUCUUUAUGGUAACUACACAAAAUAGCAUAAUUUCAACUGAUAUAUAGCUAGAGAGCUACAUUAUUUAAAAAAGAAUUACACAGGUAAAUUAUCGUUCUCUUUUAUAAUAUAACGUCUUAUGAUUUUAACUUCUAUAAUAUAACGUUUUAUACUUUCAAUUUUCUCAUUGAAUUUCUCUCGUAGUGUACUGAUUAAAUAAUAGAUCUCUUCCCUUGAAUUAUAUAUUACUCCAGCGAACAAGGAGGCCCAUAAAAUUAAAAUGAUCCAACCAAAAAUUGGGAGAACCAUAAAUACAAGUGCGACUACGGCCAAUCCAACAGCAAAUAAGCCAACUUUGCUAUUAAUUGAAUUGAAUGAAUUCCAAGCUUGAAAUAUAGUUCCAAACCCGUAUGUGAAUAGAGCAACGAGAAAGAUUGGUAAUAUAAAGUGUCUGUCUGUAUCAUCCAAAUGCUUGAUUUGAACGAGGCCAAUUAAACUUGAUAUAGUCAAGGUGAAAACAUUAUGCACUGCGUUUAAAUUUUCCCUGAAAAGAAAAAUGAAAUAAAAAAACUAUUAGAAGGCUUUAGCACAUUUCAAUUUAACUAUAUAUAUUUGUAAUUGAUAAGGAUAAACAAAGUUGCAUAAAUUUUAUAGACUUAGCAAUAAUUGCAAAACGGGUAAAAAUUUUGGAAGAGUUUUGAAUAAUCUUUCAUGAAUUGAAUAAAGAUUGAUAGCUUGAAACGAUAGAGAAGUUAAACAAAGUGUGCUCUGUCUAGUCAUGAUCAAAUACAGAAAAACUUGAAGAUAAAAUAAAAAGUUUGCAACCCAAUCCCAAUAUUUAAUGAUACUUACAUUUUCUUCUUCGUGCUUGUUGUUAGAGAAUGCAAGAAUGGUAGAGAACGCAAGAAUAUGAAGAUAGGAGAGGAGCUUGUUACUAGGAGCAGGUCGCAGAGGAGAUGCUCGCAGAGGAGAUGGCAAGAAUAUGAAGAGAGGAGGAGCAGGUCGCAGAGGUGAUGGUCGCAGAGGAGAUGGCAAGCAUAUGAAGAUAGGAGAGGAGCUUGAUACUAGGAGCAGGUCGCAGAGGAGAUGCUCGCAGAGGAGAUGGCAAGAAUAUGAAGAGAGGAGGAGCAGGUCGCAGAGGUGAUGGUCGCAGAGGAGAUGGCAAGCAUAUGAAGAUAGGAGAGGAGCUUGAUACUAGGAGCAGGUCGCAGAGGAGAUGCUCGCAGAGGAGAUGGCAAGAAUAUGAAGAGAGGAGGAGCAGGUCGCAGAGGUGAUGGUCGCAGAGGAGAUGGCAAGCAUAUGAAGAUAGGAGAGGAGCUUGAUACUAGGAGCAGGUCGCAGAGGAGAUGCUCGCAGAGGAGAUGGCAAGAAUAUGAAGAGAGGAGGAGCAGGUCGCAGAGGUGAUGGUCGCAGAGGAGAUGGCAAGAAUAUGAAGAUAGGAGAGGAGCUUGUUACUAGGAGUAAGUCAGAGGAGAUGGUAUUAUAUAAUAUUCUAGUCUAGUCAAUAUACCUAGACAUUGACAUUGACAGGGUGGAAUUGGAGGGUUGGAGAGGGUUGGAGGGUUGGCAAUUCCAUUGCACAGUUCAGGGUGGUGUAUUUUAGAAGAUAAUAUUAUAUAAUAUUCUAGUCUAGUCAAUUUUUCCAGGCCCAACCUCAUUGAAUUUUUCCAUUUUGGUCUGAUGGGCCGUUGAUUCUUCGAUUCAAUUUUUCCAAGCCCAACCUCAUUACCUUGUGUCAGAAUUUACAGAUACUAAUAGGUAAUAAAAAAAGAUUUCAAUACUUUUACACAGGCAAUAUGGGACAAUAUUAUUCUUUGGAAAAAAAAAAAAAAAGCUAUUAUUGCUGUUGAUGGACAAUAUUAUGUCUUCCCACCAGCAAGACAUCUCCAGUUCCGAUUCGAUCCGGUUCCGAUUCUCACCGGUUCCAAUUACGAUUCGGGACCGGUUCGAACCGACGGUUCCGAUUUCCGAAACCGUAAUAUGGCCACCCCUAAAUAUGGGACAAUAUUAUUCUUUGGAAAAAAAAAAAAAAGCUAUUAUUGCUGUCUUCCGAUUGCCUUUCCAAUCCUAUUCCUACUGUUGUUUCUCUCACAUCUGCCUUAAUUAUUCAAUAAAUAAAUUUUCAUUAUUACUUUUUUCAGUUCAUUAAUAUUGGCAAUUGGUAAAAAGGGAUGGAUUAUGAUAUCAUAUUAAAAAAAAUAAAAGCUGAAUAUGCAAACUUAGGUAUCAAAAGCUAAAAGUACUAAUAAUUAAUUAUAAGAAAGUGAUGUAAGGAUAAACAAAAUUAAAUUUUUUUUUUUUUAGCAAAAUGUUUUUAACAUACUCAAAUAUAAAUUCACCUCUAAUAUGAUUUGUUUUUACAUUUUAUUUUUACUUCUUGCACCUACAUAUUUUAUAUUGUAUAUUGUGGCCUCCUGCUUUUAUUAUUGUAUUAAACCUACUCUUUUUUUACUCUAUAUAUAUUGCAUUAUUUUAUUUUAUUUUAUUUUGUUGUUGCAUUGCUUUUGAUUCUUUUUCUUUUUAUAAAGAACAUGAUGUUAUCUCGCAUUAUGGAUUAAAUAAAACAAUACUUCUUUCGUUGGAUUUAUGCAUAUUAAUUUGGGAUAUACAUGCAAAAAAUUUUGGUUCAAGGUAUAAAUUCAUCCCUGUACUUUUUUUACGAGAAAUCUCGUGACAUUCUCAACUUUUAUUUUUUCUUAUUAAAUAUUUCAACUUAUAAAAUUGCACUUAUUAAAUACUUUAAUUGCAUUUAUUAAAUACUUUAAUUGACUUAUUAAACACUUCAAUUUAUAAAAUUAAAUCGAUUAAAAUACUUAUUGAAUAGUUCAAAUGUAAAAUUUAUUGUUUUAAAAAUUAUAUUAACUACAUAUUAAAUUAAUAUUUUGCAUAUAAAACUAAAAAAAUUUAAAAUUUAUUAUUACAAUAACGAGAUGAGAGAUCAUAUAAAAAUAAAAAUUAGAAUGCCACAAAAUUGAUUUUAAAAUUUACAAAAUAUCAUGAAUUUUUUUUUAUAAAUUUUAAAAGUUAAAUUAUAUAUUGCGCCGAAAGAAAAUCUACACGCAACUAACGUAACGCAACAGACUUUUCUCCCUCAAAAUUUUAAAUUAUUUAUUUCGAAUUUUUUUAUUGCUCAACUCACUUGCUGCUCUCUUUCCUUCUGUGCCUUCGGCCCGGAUUGACAAGAAUGAUACGAAUACGUACUUCAAAAGUGAUUCAGACAAUUUACCCAUAUACAUAAAUUCAACGUUUAGCUUUAUUACUUAAAUUUUACAGUGCUUUUAAUUUUUUAUUUAAUUCAUCCAACAUUUUAAUUUAUAAAAUUAUUUUAUUAAAUAUUUCAAUUUACAAAAUAGAUCAAUUAAACACCUAUGAAAUAAUUAAAAUUUAUGAAAAUUAUUAUUCUAAAAAUUUUAAACAUUAUUGUUGUUACUGUGAAAAAAUAUUUAAUAUUACCAAAAUUUAUAAAUUCAAAUAUACGAUAAAUCAUCAUAAAAUUAAGGAUAGCAAGAGUUAAAAUUGCAAAAUUAGAGAGUAAAUUUAUAUAUUCAACGCUUUUUUAAGAUUUUAAAUAAUGUUUCCUUGGCAUUUUUCAAUUUUAAAAAUUAUUACGGUAUUAUAUAAAUAUUUUUUGUUAAGAGCUAAAAUAAUUUAAGAAGAAAUAAAGUAAGAAAAUGGUAAGCUGAAAUAUUUUAUAUUUUAUGGCUUUCAAAGAAGAAAUAAUGUAAGAAAAUGCUAAACUGAAUCGGGCCAAAAACAUAAUCAAACAAAAUCAACUUUUAAAAAAAAGAAAAAAGAAAAUAAUAAAAGAUAUGAAAAGGAAGAAAAGGAUGGAGUUGUAGUUAAACAAAAUAUUAAGGUCUGGAUCCAUGAGCUUGAACCCGUUUCUGGCAUAGUGGAUUCCCACAAUUAUUACUUGGAAAACUUGAACAUAAAAUUAUACAUAAAUUCUCAUGUUUGGAAUAUUAGAAUUCAUUUUGAAUUUCUAGUCUAGCUAGCUUAGCUUGUACCACAGUUUAAAAUUAUAUACUUUUUUGAGUUUAGCAUAGGAAGAAAAAGAGAGUAGAAAAACAUACUUCAAGCUCAGUGUAAUUCAUUCCCUUAAGAAGCACCUUUGAACCCUUGGUUAGAAUAGCAUUCAUGUCUCUACUUCCUACACAAAUAAACAACCACAAAACAAAUAAAUAAAUAAAAUGGGGGCUCGAAAAAUAACAUAUGUUACUAGGAAACGAUUUAUCUGCUUACCCAUAUCAACAGGAAGUAGUGACGAUGAACAAGCGGCGGGCGAAACGGAACGACGCGCGGAAGAGAAAAGAGAAGUGGGGUGGAGAUGGAGAUUGGGCGGUGGCGGUGAUGAAGAGAGUUGUUUUAGAGAGGAAAGAGAGAGAUGAGAUCGAUUUGGGUAAGGAAUUGAGAGCCAAGCAGAUGAGGAGUCCAUGGAAGGGUGAUUUACAAGAACCACUGACCGCACGCGCCUCAUCCACAUACAACCCAUCUCCAUUCUCCGAUUUCUCCUAGCCCGAAAGUAUUACAUGUUCAUUUGAUGAAAAUAUAUAUUAACAUCAUCACAGCCGACAAGAACUCAAGAUUUAAGUAAAGCGGAAAUUUUCAAUAUUUUAUGAUAAUUUCAGAAAAACAAAAGAAAAAUUCAUCAGAUUUAAUUAAUUGAACUAAAUUCAGGAUUCAAUCAUUACUGCAAAAAAGUGAAUCGAUCAUUCAGAAUUUGAAAUAAUCCGUAUUAUAGUAAUUGCAGAGCUUAAAACCAACAAAAGAAAAAAUAAAGGAAAAAAGAAAACGGAAGGUUCUCACCAAUUUCAAGCGAUUAAUCAAAAUUUGAAAAGAUCAAGAGAGAGGUAGUUAGUACUUAGUAGGAAGGAGAGGCGUGGUCGGUUCGGGUCGGGCCGGGUCGAGAGAGUAACACUGAAAUUAAUUGAAUAAAUGAAAUUAAAGGACUAACACUGAAAUUAAAUAAAAAUUCUAUUUCUUUUCCAUUUUAUGCUAACUACACAAAAUAGCAAUUUUCAAUCGAUAUAUAACUAGAGAGCUACAUUAUUUCGAAAAAGAAUUACACAGGUAAAUUAUCGUGCUCUUCUAUAAUAUAACGUCUUAUGAUUUCAACUUCUAUAAUAUAACGUCUUAUAAUUUCAAUUCUCUUAUUGAAUUUCUCUCGUAGUUUACUGAUUAAACAAUAGAUUUCUUUCCUUGAAUUAUAUAUUACUUUAACGAACAAGGAGGCCCAUAAGAUUAAAAUAAUCCAACCAAAAAUUGGGACAAGGAGAAAGGCAAGUGCAACUAUGGCCGAUCCAACAGCAAAUAGGCCAACUUUGCUAACAAUUGAAUUGAAGGAGCUCCAAGCUUGAAAGAUAGUUCCAAAGCCAUAUGUGAAUAGACCAACAAGAAAGAUUGUGAAUAUAAAGUGUUUGUCUGUAUCAACUAAAGGCUUGAUUUGAAUGAGACCAAUUAAACUUGCUACGGUGAAGGCGAAAACCUUGUGUACUGCAUUUAAAUUUUCCCUGAAAAGAAAAAUGAAAUAAAAAAACUAUUAGAAGGCUUUAGCACAUUUCUAUUUAACUAUAUAUAUUUGUAAUUGAUACGGAUAAACAAAGUUGCAUAAAUUUUAUAGAUUUAGUAAUAAUUGCAAAAUGGAUAAAAAUUUUGGAAGAGUUUUGAAUAAUUUUUCAUGAAUUUUAAUAAAGAUUGAUAGCUUGAAAUGAGGAGAGAAGUGAAUCAAAUACUGCAAAACUUGAAGAUAAAAUAAAAAGUUUGCAACCCAAUAUUUAAUGAUACUUACCUUUCGCUUGGCAUUCUUUUAAAUUCUUCGCGCUUGUUAGAGAACGGAAGAGUAGGAAGAUAGGAGAGUAUGAGACUAGCUGCAAUGACUAGAGAGCGAGUAGUGGCAUAUUAUAUUGACUUUCUUUCACUCGACUAACAUUUUUGAGUAACAAUCGCUCGACUAACAUUUGUCAUUAUUGACAUUUGUUACUCUCGUUUGCGUAACAAUCGCUAGAGAGCGAGUAGUGGCAUAUUAUAUUGAGUAACAAUCGCUAGAGAGCGAGUACCAUUUGUCAUUAUUGACAUUUGUUCCUCUCGUUUGAGUAACACUCACUAGAGAGCGAGUAGUGGCAUAUUAUAUUGAGUAACAAUCGCUAGAGAGCGAGUACCAUUUGUCAUUAUUGACAUUUGUUCCUCUCGUUUGAGUAACAAUCGCUCGACUAACAUUUGUCAUUGUUGACAUUUGUCAUUAACUGUUGAUUUUUAUUAUAAUUUAAAAAAAUCAAUCACUUUUUUAGUUUUAGUAUAAAAACUUUAAAUGGUUUAUAUUUUAAAAUAAGGAAAACAGUUAAAUCAAUGAAAAUAGACUAUAUAUCCAAUGAAAUUUCCUGCAAUAUAAAAACUGAUAAAUUUGGAAUCACUGCUGUUACCCGAAUACUAGCCAGCUUGAACAUUUAAAAAAAAAAAAAAACAAAACAAAAGAAAAGAAAACCCGUAUAUAUAUUUUAUUAUGUGACUCUACAACAUGAUUUUGAAAAUUUGCAGCAGCACAACAACAGCAGCCAAGCCUUAGCCACAAACUAGUUGGGAAUUUGCACAAAUACACAAAAUCUUUUGUUUCCAUAUGGCUCUAUGCUAGAUAUAGAUAAUACUAAACUGAAUUCAAAAUGUCCUUUAGUAUCCUAAAGGGUUAAAAUCAAAUCUUAAAUGACAAGAAGAAAACGCCAAUUCAUUUUGUUUGGAAUGCAAAAAUCCAUUUAAGAUAUUGUGAGAGAAAAUAAAUGUUUGUUUACUAAUGCAGCCUAAAUUUCAUAGAGGUUGGAACAUCCAUUGCAAAGACCCAGCAAAUGCAAGCAGAUAAAUUCAUACGAACCAGCAAAUAGCAAUACAAGGAUAUCAGCAUCCAAAAUAAAAAAUUGCCACGUGUGAAAAUUGUGGCAUGAGAGGUUACUCACCAGUACUUAAUCAAGCCAUCCCAGCCGCAAGUUGCCACUUUGCUUUGCUCCAAUGGAUGCCACUCGCACCCAAUGCACACACCCUCAUGACACUUGUCCUGAAAACUUUACAACUCUUCCAGUCCCAAAACCAGCACUUACCCUCACCGUCUCCUGACAUAACAAAACGUCCAUCUGGUGAGAAAUUUACUUGGCAAGCAUAACCUGCCACAAUAUGCUCAGCAAACCGCUGGUGCACCUCUCCUAACUAUUGCAAUUUAGUUUCCUCUGAGAAACCUCAGGAGCAUUUGCAUAAAUUGAGGGUGUUAAUGAUACAGGUUAAAAAUAUAAUAUUAUAUGAUGGGUUAAAAGCACAUCAAACAAAUCAUUCUUGCCCAAACUAACACGAAACAAGUCAGCAACUGGUAGUCUGGUACCACAAGUAAACAUGCUAGCGUAAUAGACAAAGCAACUGCAUACAUCUAUCUUUCUGACUUGCAAUAUCAUGCAGUCAACGUUUACAACGUCAAUCAUGCAGUUACCCUAACAGUAGCACAAGAUAUUUCAUAUGGCCAAACAUAUUAUCAAAUAUCAAAUAAAACUGAGAAAGGAAAAUGUUUAUCUAACCUGUCAUUUACUCCUGCAAGCAUCACAUACUCGAACAAAAGAUCAAUGAAUAAGGAAACACAUGGACUUAAUUCCACAAAUUAUGUGUUUUUCUAUGUGAACAGGGAAUGCAUAACGACCACAAAACGAAUGAAAUCUUCACUUUCUAUUUAUGUUGUCGAUAGAUAGUGAAAAUAACAUUGAAUUAUUAGAUGCCUUAUUACUGGACUGAGCAAAGUCACUAACUGAGCCAAAUCUGAACUGAUUGGAAAAACUUUAAUAGAAAAUUUUCUAGAUCACACCAUAAAUACAACGUUUGUGAUGGAACCAACUUCGCUCGUCACAAGACGUUGUGCAAAUACAACCUGGUCUACAAUCUCUGCAGUAGUCAGAUGUCUCUUCAAACCCAUCCUAAAAAUUGGAUUAUGCAUCAAGAAGAUGUACCUUGUAGAGAGUAAGAAUAGCAAUAAUAGAGAUACAAAUAAGAAAGAUAUAAAGCUUACCUGCCAGUGCAGCAGAACUGACAAUUCAUGGCACAGCCCACUUGACUUGAAACACAAACUGUCGUCCUACCUCUAUCACAAGGUAUGACGACUGUUUCAAUUACCAGUUCAUCAUCCAACCUAAAUAAAAUCUGCAAGCUCCUGUGAGUUUCAAAACCAAUGAGAAGAUAAUGCAACUGCUAAAAGCAAUAUAUCAAACCAGAAUAAAGUGACUUCGAGACCAAAAAUACAACAGAUAAUGGUUUUGGCUACCUUCUUAGUUCCAUCAGAUGCAGAACGAAUAUUUUCCAAAUAUAUUGCCUUAUAUUCUGCGUGUUCACUCAACAUUUUCCUAAAAUCCUUAUUCAAACCUGAAUAAGGUUAUCAAAGACAAAUUCAUAAGGCUCAGCAUGUCUCUCUUGUUGGAAGAGAGAUUCAAUUUUGCACAUAGAUAGGGACAUCAAAGGGAGAUAAAAUCAUUUAGCUCACUGAAAAGGCUAUAAAACCAGACAAUAGAUAGCAUUUCAGAGACAAGGUGGUGUAAGAAUACCUUCUAGUUCAUCAACAUAAUGCGCCCAAAUAUUUUCCCCAUAAAGACGCUACCACAGCAUCAUAGCUUGACCAGGUCUGGAUCCAUGAGAUUGAGCCGUGGACCCAUUUCUGGCAUAGUGGAUUCCCACAAUUAUUACUUGGAAAACUUGAACAUAAAACUAUACAUAAAUUCUCAUGGUUGGAAUAUUAGAAUUCAUUUUGAAUUUCUAGUCUAGCUAGCUUGUACCACAGUUUAAAAUUAUAUACUUUUUUGAGUUUAGCAUAGGAAGAAAAAGAGAGUAGAAAAACACACUUCAAGCUCAGUGUAAUUCAUUCCCUUAAGAAGCACCUUUGAACCCUUGGUUAGAAUAGCAUUCAUGUCUCUANNNNNNNNNNNNNNNNNNNNNNNNNNNNNNNNNNNNNNNNNNNNNNNNNNNNNNNNNNNNNNNNNNNNNNNNNNNNNNNNNNNNNNNNNNCCAUAUCAACAGGAAGGUAGUGACGAUGAACAAGCGGCGGUAGAAACGGAACGACGCGCGGAAGGGAAACGAGAAGUGGGGUGGAGAUGGAGAUUGGGCGGUGGCGGUGAUGAAGAGAGUUGUUUUAGAGAGGAAAGAGAGAGAUGAGAUCGAUUAGGGUAAGGAAUUGAGAGCGAAGCAGAUGAGGAGGCCAUGGAAGGGUGAUUUACAAGAACCACUGACCGCACGCGCCCCAUCCACAUACAACCCAUCUCCAUUCUCCGAUUUCUCGUAGCCCGAAAGUAUAACACGUUCAUUUGAUGAAAAUAUAUCCAAGCUCUCUUACAUAAUACUUAUAUGAAAAUAACUUAUAUCCGAAAAUAUCUUAUUUCAAAAUACAUGCGAGCUGUAAGAAGUAAUAAAGAUUUUUUUUAUUUAUUCUUUAUAUAUAAUCAAUAAUUAUUAUUUUAAUUUAAUAAUUUUUUAGAAAAUUAAUAUUAAAUUAAAGAUAAUAUAGUCAAUUUAUUUAAUAAUUUAUUAUAAUUUAAACACAUUUAAUAAUUUUCUUAAGAAAUCUGAAAUUUAUGACAAGUAUUAUUGACCAGAGAUCAUAUGAAAUGGCUAAACUAGCAAGGUUCAAUUGGUUUUUUAGGUAUUGUUAUUGGUUCGGUUUGAACCAUAAUCAAAUUGUACUGUGCAUGAACUGAAAUCGAAUUCAAAAUUUUGAACUAGAACUGGAGUUCACCGACUGGUUCAAUCCAUGUCAAUACGUUAAAAAAUAAAACUGAAUUGGUAUCGUUGGUCCAAAAUUUUAAAUCAUAACUUGAGGUUCAAAGACUGGUUCCUAUCCAUGUCAAUGUUAAAAAAUAAACCUGAAUCGGAAUGGAAUUGACGAUUCCAGUCCGGUUAAACAUAAAUUUAUAAUCAUCUACUCAUAAAUAAAAUUUUCAUGAUAAAUAACGCAAAAAUGCAGAAUCCGGAUAAGGGGAUCGUGACUCUACAACAUGAUUUUGAAAUUUUCCAGCGGCACACCACCAGCAGCCAAGCCUUAGCCACAAACUAGUUGGGAAUUUGCACAAAUACACAAAAUCUUUUGUUUCCAUAUGGCUCUAUGCUAGAUAUAGAUAAUAAUAAACUGAGUUCAAAAUGUCCUUUAGUAUCCUAAAGGGUUAAAAUCAAAUCUUAAAUGACAAGAAGAAAACGCCAAUUCAUUUUGUUUGGAAUGCAAACAUCCAUUUAAGAUAUUGUGAGAGAAAAUAAAUGUUUGUUUACUAAUGCAGCCUGAAUUCCAUAGAGAUUGGAACAUCCAUUGCAAUGCAAGCAGACUAAUUCAUAUGAACCAGCAAAUAGCAAUACAAGGAUAUCAGCAUNNNNNNNNNNNNNNNNNNNNNNNNNNNNNNNNNNNNNNNNNNNNNNNNNNNNNNNNNNNNNNNNNNNNNNNNNNNNNNNNNNNNNNNNNNNNNNNNNNNNNNNNNNNNNNNNNNNNNNNNNNNNNNNNNNNNNNNNNNNNNNNNGAAAACCUUACAACUCUUCCAGUCCCAAAACCAGCAUUUACCCUCACCGUCUCCUGACAUAACAAGCCGUCCAUCUGGUGAGAAAUUUACUUGGCAAGCAUAACCUGCCACAAUAUGCCCAGCAAACCACUGGUGCACCUCUCCUAACUAUUGCAAUUUAGUUUCCUCUGAGAAACCUCAGGAGCAUUUGCAUAAAUUGAGGGUGUUAAUGAUACAGGUUAAAAAUAUAAUAUUAUAUGAUGGGUUAAAAGCACAUCAAACAAAUCAUUCUUGCCCAAACUAACACGAAACAAGUCAGCAACUGGUAGUCUGGUACCACAAGUAAACAUGCUAGCGUAAUAGACAAAGCAACUGCAUACAUCUAUCUUUCUGACUUGCAAUAUCAUGCAGUCAACGUUUACAACGUCAAUCAUGCAGUUACCCUAACAGUAGCACAAGAUAUUUCAUAUGGCCAAACAUAUUAUCAAAUAUCAAAUAAAACUGAGAAAGGAAAAUGUUUAUCUAACCUGUCAUUUACUCCUGCAAGCAUCACAUACUCGAACAAAACUUCGCAAUUCUUUAUGGAUUGGAGUUCCUUCCGAAGGGUGUCAAGAAGCAAGCCUAAAUUGUAUUUCCGGUUACUUGGCACGAUCCAGUUUCUUACAUGCAUGGUUUAUUAGUUAAAGAGAAAGUCAACAACCUGGAUGUGUUUCCCAAGUGAAUAAACAUACAGAUAUAAAUGAAAAUGCACCUCAUCAGCUGUCGCAUUCAGACUAACAGCUAAAGCACAAUUGGAUUCAUGAAGGAAACGUUUCAACGGGGGGACAAGCCCGCUUGUAGAAACAGUGACCUUGCGAGGACUAAAAUGAAGAUCCUGCUCAUGCACCAUAAUAUCUGCAGCUUUUAUGACGACUGUUUCAAUUACCAGUCCAUCAUCCAACCUAAAUAAAAUCUGCAAGCUCCUGUGAGUUUCAAAACCAAUGAGAAGAUAAUGCAACUGCUAAAAGCAAUAUAUCAAACCAGAAUAAAGUGACUUCGAGACCAAAAAUACAACAGAUAAUGGUUUUAGCUACCUUCUUAGUUCCAUCAGAUGCAGUACCAACAUCUUCCAAAGAUAUUGCCUCAAAUUCUGCGUGUUCACUCAACAUUUUCCUAAAAUCCUUAUUCAAACCUGAAUAAGGUUAUCAAACAAAUUCAUAAGGCUCAGCAUGUCUCUCUUGUUGGAAGAGAGAUUCAAUUUUGCUCAUAGAUAGGGACAUCAAAGGGAGAUAAAAUCAUUUAGCUCACUGAAAAGGCUAUAAAACCGGACAACAGAUAGCAUUUCAGAGACAAGGUGGUGUAAGAAUACCUUCUAGCUCAUCAACAUAAUGCGCCCAAAUAUUUUCCCCAUAAAGACGCUACCACAGCAUCAUAGAUUGACCAGGUCUGGAUCCAUGCUAUUGAACCCAGUUCUGGCAUAGUGGAUUCCCACAAUUAUUACUUGGAAAACUUGAACAUAAAAUUAUACAUAAAUUCUCAUGUUUGGAAUAUCAGAAUUCAUUUUGAAUUUCUAGCCUAGCUAGCUUGUACCACAGUUUAAAAUUAUAUACUUUUUUGAGUUUAACAUAGGAAGAAAAAGAGAGUAGAAAAACAUACUUCAAGCUCAGUGUAAUUCAUUCCCUUAAGAAGCACCUUUGAACCNNNNNNNNNNNNNNNNNNNNNNNNNNNNNNNNNNNNNNNNNNNNNNNNNNNNNNNNNNNNNNNNNNNNNNNNNNNNNNNNNNNNNNNNNNNNNNNNNNNNNNNNNNNNNNNNNNNNNNNNNNNNNNNNNNNNNNNNNNNNNNNNNNNNNNNNNNNNNNNNNNNNNNNNNNNNNNNNNNNNNNNNNNNNNNNNNNNNNNNNNNNNNNNNNNNNNNNNNNNNNNNNNNNNNNNNNNNNNNNNNNNNNNNNNNNNNNNNNNNNNNNNNNNNNNNNNNNNNNNNNNNNNNNNNNNNNNNNNNNNNNNNNNNNNNNNNNNNNNNNNNNNNNNNNNNNNGAUUUACAAGAACCACUGACCGCACGCGCCUCAUCCACAUACAACCCAUCUCCAUUCUCCGAUUUCUUGUAGCCCGAAAGUAUUACAUGUUCAUUUGAUGAAAAUAUAUAUUAACAUCAUCACAGCCGACAACAACUCAAGAUUUAAGUAAAGCGGAAAUUUUCAAUUUUUUAUGAUAAUUUCAGAAAAACAAAAGAAAAAUUCAUCAGAUUUAAUUAAUUUAACAAAAUUCAGGAUUCAAUCAUUAUUGCAAAACAGUGAACUGAUCAUUCAGAAUUUGAAAUAAUCCGUAGCACCUGUAUAGUAAUAGCAGAGCUUAAAACCAACAAAUGAAAAAAUAAGGGGAAAAAGAAAAAGGAAUGUUCUCACCAAUUUCAAGCGAUUAAUCAAAAUUUGAAGAGAUACGUUCCUUUUUUUUUUCUUGAAUUGACCAAUUUCAGGCGUUUUUCCUUUUUCAGAAGGGGGAGAGAUUGAGACGAAGAAGAGGAGAUCAAUAGAGAGGCAGUUAGUGCUUAAGAUGAAGGAGAGGCUCGGUCGGGUCGUGGAGAGACAGUGAGAUGUGGGCUUUACCAAAUAAAUGGACUCUGGAAGUUGGGAAUACAUACGGUCUUUAAGAUUAGGGUUUUUUUUUUUUUUUCAAAUGAUUAUAAAAAUAAUUGAAUAAAUGAAAUUAAAGGAUUAACACUGAAAUUAAAUAAUAUUUUUAUUUCAAUGGUAACUAUACAAAAUAGCACAUUUACAAUCGAUAUAUGCAGCUAAAGAGUUACAUUAUUUCAAAAAAGAAAUACAUAAGUUAAUUAUCGUGCUCUUCUAUAAUAUAACGUCUUAUGAUUUUAAUUAUCUUGUUGAAUCUCUCUCGUAGUUUGCUAAUUAAACCGUGGAUCUCUUUAAGUGAAUCAUAUAUUACUUUAGCAAACAAGGAGGCCCAUAAGAUUAAAAUAAUCCAAAAGUUGUAACAACCAUAAAGACAAGCGCAGCUACGGCUAAUCCAAGGGCAAAUAAGCCAACUUUGCUAGUAAUUGAAUUGAAGGAGUUCCGAGCUUGAAAGAUAGUUCCAAACCCAUAUGUGAGUAAAGCAACAAGAAAGAUUGGUAAUAUAACGCGUGUGUCUUUAUGAACCAUAGUCUUGAUUUGAAUGAGGCCAAUUAAACUUGCUAUGAUUAAGGUGAAAACAUUGUGUACUGCAUUUAAAUUUUCCCUGAAAAGAAAAAUGAAAUAAAAAAAACUAUUAGAAGACUUUAGCACAUUUCAAUUUAACUAUAUAUAUUUGUAAUUGAUAAGGAUAAACAAAGUUGCAUAAAUUUUAUAGACUUAGCAAUAAUUGGAAAAUGGAUAAAAAGUUUGGAAGAGUUUUGAAUAAUCUUUCAUGAAUUGUAACAAAAAUUGAUAGCUUGAAAUUAUAGAGAAGUGAGACAACUGUGCUCUGUCUAGCCAUGAAUCAAAUACUGAAAAACUCGAAGAUACAACAAAAAGUUUGACAACCCAAUAUUCAAUGAUAUACUAACCUUUCGUUUGCCAUUUUCUUUUAAAUUCUUUGUGCUUGUUAGAGAACGCAAGAAUAGGAAGAUAGAAGCUGCAAUGACUAGAGAGCAACUCUGCUAUUUUUCCCAAGAAUAGGAAGAUAGGAGAGAAGCUGCUUUUUAUUUUUUCCCAAGAAUAGCAAGAAUAGGAAGAUAGGAGAGAAGCAUAUGCUUGUGAGAGAAGCUGUUUUUUUAUAUGUCAUAUAAUCGCUUUUUAUUGUCGGUUGUUGUAGGUCAAUUCAUAUAAAAUAUUCUUUUCUUUUCCUCAUACUGCUUACUCAUAUUUCCUCCUUCACUGAUAUUUGCUUUUUUCCUCAAUUCUGCUUACUCUGCUUAAGCAUAUUUCAAUUUUCUAUUCAUAUUUCUCAAUUCUGCUUACUCUGCUUACUCUACUUACUCAUAUUUCCUCCUUUACGGAUAUUUGCUUUUUUCCUCAACUUUUUUCCUCAACUCUACUUACUUUACUGAUAUUUGCUUUUUGCCUCAAUUCUGCUUACUCUGCUUAAGCAUAUUUCAAUUUUCUUUUCAUAACUGAUAUUUGCUUUUUAUGAUUCCACAUAGGCAGGAACCUUUUUAUGAUUCCACAUAGGCAGGACCUUUUUAUGAUUCCACAUACAUGCCACAUAGGCAGGACCUUUUGACAUCUAAGAGGUGCCACAUAGGCAGGACCUUUUUACAUCUAAGAGGUGUACAUUGUGGUUCUAUUGCCCUGUUUUUGGUUCCAUUACCCUGAAUUCGUCUGACGUGUGGUGGUGUUUUUGUUUUUUUGGUACAUUGUGGUUCCAUACUUCCAUUACCCUGAAUUUCGUCUCACGUGUGGUGGUGUUUUAGUUUUUUUUGUACAUUGUGGCCCCCCAUUGCCCUGUUUGUUUUUUUGCGUCGUUGUCGGGUGAUAGCUUUUCUAGAUAAUAUUAUAUAAUAUUCUAGUCUAGUUAACAUUGUCGGGUGAUUUGCUUCUUCCAUUCAAUUUUUCCAGGCCCAACCUCAUUCAAUUUUUCCAUUUUGGUCUGAUGGGUCGUUGAUCCUUCGAUUCAAUUUUUCCAAGCCCAACCUCAUUACCUUGUUGUCAGAAUUUACAGAUACUAAUAGGUAAUAAAAAAAGAUUUCAAGACUUUUACACAUGCAACAUGGGUAGGGGUGGCCACAGUUCCGGAAUCGAAUCGAAAAGGUCCGGUUUCAGUUUCGAUUUGGAACCGUCCGGUUCCGGUUCCGGUCUGGUGAUAAAACCGACUGGUUCCGAUCGGUUUUUCGGCGAAUCGCAUAAUUUUAAAUUUUAAAUUUUGAAGACCGGUUUAAAAAAAAUAUAUUGGAACAUAAAAAAUUAAAAAAUACACCUAAAAAAUUAAAAAAAACUUCAAUUAAAUUUAUUUUUUUAAAGAUUUGAACAUAAUUAUUUUUUUAAAAAAAAUUUUUCAACUGAAUUUAUUUUUUGUUUAAAAAAGUUUGAAUAUAAUUUUUUUUAAAAAAAAAGGACGGCUUGAAAUUAAUUUUUUUUUAAAAAAAAAAAAUUAAGUUGUCUACAUAUCCUCUUGGGGUUUAGAGGAAUCAAAGCCCACAUAGUUCUUACUUACCUUAUACCAAUUUCACCCCUUUUACCUUAAUCGCUAUUUGCACCACCGGUUGAUGUUUCCGUUGAGGACCUAUCGUAUAAAUCAUAUAAAUCUUCAUUUUAUUUUGGAUUUUCUUUGGCUCUUAGUUCAACCUUUCUCCAAUCAUCCACGCAUGAUUGUGCUUCUAAUGAAUCGGGUGUCACACGAGAUCGUGUUUUAUCAAGUAUGUUACCUCCUUGACUAAAAACUUGUUCAACCGCAACAGUGGAGACCGGAGCUGCUAAAAUUUGUUUUGCAAGUAAAGAAAGAAUUGUAAAAGUAUUUGCGUGACGACUCAACCAAUCUAAAAUUGGAAAAUCUGCAUCUGCAUAAUCAUCACCAAACUCAAAAGAAGUUGUUAGAUAAUUAUCAAAUUCAGAAAAAGAACUGGAUUCCCUUUGUCUUUUUUGUCUUUGUAGUAAAACAUGUUCAGCAACACCAACACCACUUACCCUUUGUGUUGAAAAUUGUGGAAUAUUAGAUUGAGAAGAAGUAGAAGUAGAAGUAGAUGAACUAGAAACUUGAACAAAUUCAUUAUAUAAUUGCAUAAUAUUUUGUUUAACUUCAUGCAAUACUACAUUUAUAUUAACAUUAUCUUCUACAUCAAGAUUUAAUACAUCAUAAUAAAUAGUCAAAUAAUCACAUAAAACAUCCAUUCUAUAUCUAGGAUCAAAUNNNNNNNNNNNNNNNNNNNNNNNNNNNNNNNNNNNNNNNNNNNNNNNNNNNNNNNNNNNNNNNNNNNNNNNNNNNNNNNNNNNNNNNNNNNNNNNNNNNNNNNNNNNNNNNNNNNNNNNNNNNNNNNNNNNNNNNNNNNNNNNNNNNNNNNNNNNNNNNNNNNNNNNNNNNNNNNNNNNNNNNNNNNNNNNNNNNNNNNNNNNNNNNNNNNNNNNNNNNNNNNNNNNNNNNNNNNNNNNNNNNNNNNNNNNNNNNNNNNNNNNNNNNNNNNNNNNNNNNNNNNNNNNNNNNNNNNNNNNNNNNNNNNNNNNNNNNNNNNNNNNNNNNNNNNNNNNNNNNNNNNNNNNNNNNNNNNNNNNNNNNNNNNNNNNNNNNNNNNNNNNNNNNNNNNNNNNNNNNNNNNNNNNNNNNNNNNNNNNNNNNNNNNNNNNNNNNNNNNNNNNNNNNNNNNNNNNNNNNNNNNNNNNNNNNNNNNNNNNNNNNNNNNNNNNNNNNNNNNNNNNNNNNNNNNNNNNNNNNNNNNNNNNNNNNNNNNNNNNNNNNNNNNNNNNNNNNNNNNNNNNNNNNNNNNNNNNNNNNNNNNNNNNNNNNNNNNNNNNNNNNNNNNNNNNNNNNNNNNNNNNNNNNNNNNNNNNNNNNNNNNNNNNNNNNNNNNNNNNNNNNNNNNNNNNNNNNNNNNNNNNNNNNNNNNNNNNNNNNNNNNNNNNNNNNNNNNNNNNNNNNNNNNNNNNNNNNNNNNNNNNNNNNNNNNNNNNNNNNNNNNNNNNNNNNNNNNNNNNNNNNNNNNNNNNNNNNNNNNNNNNNNNNNNNNNNNNNNNNNNNNNNNNNNNNNNNNNNNNNNNNNNNNNNNNNNNNNNNNNNNNNNNNNNNNNNNNNNNNNNNNNNNNNNNNNNNNNNNNNNNNNNNNNNNNNNNNNNNNNNNNNNNNNNNNNNNNNNNNNNNNNNNNNNNNNNNNNNNNNNNNNNNNNNNNNNNNNNNNNNNNNNNNNNNNNNNNNNNNNNNNNNNNNNNNNNNNNNNNNNNNNNNNNNNNNNNNNNNNNNNNNNNNNNNNNNNNNNNNNNNNNNNNNNNNNNNNNNNNNNNNNNNNAUAAAUUUUCUCACCUUUGAAUUUUUUCGUGAAAUGAAUGGCGAAUAUGUCGGAACUUUGUCUUGCUCUUCCAACAAUUUGUGCUCGUUGCUCUUGCUCUUGCUCUUGCUCUUCCUCUUCUUGUAAUUGCUCAUUAAAUUCAGAUUCUUGAGUUGGAAUUUCCAAAUUUUCAUUUGGAUAUCCCUCAAAAUUAAAUUGGUUGGGAGUGAAAUCAUAGAUGUCGUUUGUAGGGAUAGAUGAAUAUUGUGUUUCUCCAAUCUUUCCCUUGCCCUUACCCGAAUUUGAGUUUUCUCCACUUGUCAUUAUAUGAUAAUAAGAUAUAAUUUGGAAACUUGAAUAAAAAAAAUUAGAGAGAAUAAGAACUUAAUACGAGAGAUUGUAAAGUAGAGAAGAAUAAUAUAGAGUAGAGUGUAGUAUAUUGUAGAGAGAGUAAGUAGAGUGUAGUAUAUUGUAGAGAGAGUUGAGAUUUUUUUGUAAUCAAUUUGUAAAUGAAAUGAGGUAUUUACAAUAAAUUCAAAAAAUCAUUUUUCCAAAAAUACCCUUGAAACUAGCCGUUAUGUAGCCGUUUAUGGCUGGGGGGGGGGGGGAUUAAAAGAAUUUACAAUAAAAAUUAAAAAAAAAAAAAAAAAACUGGUCUGACAAUUUAUAACAGCUAGAACCGCCGGUUCGAAUCGGUUUGAACCGGCGGUUCUAACCGGCCGGGGAAUCGACGGUUCCAAUCCGGUUCCGACUGGUUAUCUGGAACCGCCGGUUUCGGUUCCAGAAAUCUAGAAUCGGAACCGAACCGAAAAUCUCCAGUUCCGGUUCGAUCCGGUUCCGGUUCUCACCGGUUCCAAUUAAGGUUCGGGACCGGUUCGAACCGACGGUUCCGGUUUUUCCGGUUUCCGAAACCGUAAUAUGGCCACCCCUAAAUAUGGGACAAUAUUAUUCUUUGGAAAAAAAAAAAAAAGCUAUUAUUGCUGUCUUCCGAUUGCCUUUCCAAUCCUAUUCCUACUGUUGUUUCUCUCACAUCUGCCUUAAUUAUUCAAUAAAUAAAUUUUCAUUAUUACUUUUUUCAGUUCAUUAAUAUUGGCAAUUGGUAAAAAGGGAUGGAUUAUGAUAUCAUAUUAAAAAAAAUAAAAGCUGAAUAUGCAAACUUAGGUAUCAAAAGCUAAAAGUACUAAUAAUUAAUUAUAAGAAAGUGAUGUAAGGAUAAACAAAAUUAAAUAUUUUUUUUAGCAAACUGUUUUUAACAUCCUCAAAUAUAAAUUCACCUCUAAUAUGAUUUGUUUUUACAUUUUAUUUUUACGUAUUGCACCUACAUAUUUUAAAUUAUAUAUUGUGGCCCCCAGUUUUUAUUAUUUUAAAUUAUAUAUUUCAUUCUCAUUAACCCUUUUUCUGUCAAAAUUUUAAAAUUAUUUAUUGCCUGGUCAAUUGGUCAAUUUUAUGUGUAACAGUUAAAAUUAUAAAAUUCAUCUAUUUAUGUAGUCACUUUUCUCAAGAUUUUAAAUAAUAUUUACUUUGUCAUUUUUCAAUUCUAAAAAUUGUUACAGUUUAAUAUAAAAUUUUUGUUAAGAGUUGAUUGCUAAAUAUACAACAUGCAGGUUUCCUUUCCUUUUUUUUUAUUAAAUAUAUUUUUAUUUUAUGGCUUUCAAUGAAGAAAUAAUGUCAAAAAAUGCUAAAUUUAUAAAAUUAAAUCGAUUAAAAUACUUAUUAAAUAGUUCAAAUGUAAAAUUUAUUGUUUUAAAAAUUAUAUUAACUACAUAUUAAAUUAAUAUUUUGUAUAUAAAAAUAUUAAAUUAAUAUUUUGCAUAUAAAAAUAAAAAAAUUUAAAAUUUAUUAUUACCGUAACGAGAUGUAAGAUCAAUUUAAAUUUAAAAUAUUAAAUUUAUUGUUUUCGAAUUUUUUUAUUGCUCAACUCACUUGCUGCUCUCUUUCCUUCUGUGCCUUCGGCCUGGAUUGACAAGAAUGUUAUGAAUACGUACUUCAAAAGCGAUUCAGGCAAUUUACCCAUAUACAUAAAUUCAACGUUUAGCUUUAUUACUUAAAUUUUACAGUGCUUUUAAUUUUUAUUUAAUUCAUCCAAUAUUUUAAUUUAUAAAAUUAUUUUAUUAAAUGUCUCAAUUUACAAAAUAAAUCAAUUAAACACCUAUGAAAUAAUUAAAAUUUAUGAAAAUUAUUAUUCAAAAAAUUUUAAACACUAUUAUUGUUACUGUGAAAAAGUAUUUAAUAUUAUCAAAAUUUAUAAAUUCAAAUAUACGAUAAAUCAUAAAAAAAUUUAAGAUAGCAAGGAUUAAAAUUGAAAAAUUAGAGAAUAAAUUUAUAUAUUCAACGCUUUUUCAAGAUUUUAAAUAAUAUUUUCUUCGCAUUUUUCAAUUUUAAAAAUUAUUACGGUAUCAUAUAAAUAUUUUUUGUUAAGAGCUAAAAUAAUGUAAGAAGAAAUAAAGUAAGAAAAUGCUAAGCUGAAAUAUUUUUAUAUUUUAUGGCUUUCAAAGAAGAAAUAAUGUAAGAAAAUGCUAAACUGAAUACGGCCAAAAAAAUAAUCAAACAAAAUCAACUUAAAAAAAAAAAAAGUAAAAAGAAAAUAAAUAAAAGAUAUGAAAAGGAAGAAAAGGAUGGUGUUGUAGUUAAACAAAAAAUUAAGGGCUAAUGGGAAAAUCACUGUUGUGGCGACACUGAUUUCCCCACGUGGGUUAUAUCCCUAUUACUUUGCUCCACGUGUGAUUGUUUAUAUCGCAGGUUGUGAUAGACAAGAACUUCUGUUUCCAUAAUUUGUGGAAAAUGUCGCGAAUACGUAUUUCAAACCCGAAGCAUAUUCAAUUUGCCCAUAUUUUACCCUAUUAAGCGUCUUUCAUAUCUCUGGGGUUUAUUUAGGUUCAAUACCUAAAUGUAUCCUUUAUUUUUAUUACUUUAUUACUUUAAUAGUUCAAUACCUAUUAAAUAAUUAAUAAUUAUAAAAAUUAUUAUUUCAAAAUUUAUGCUAAAUUACAUAUCAAAUUAAUAUUUUGUAGAUAAGAUUCAAAAACUUUAAAAACUAUUAUUAUUAGUGUGAAAAUACGUGUAAUAGUUAAAAUUGCAAAAUUCAGUUUUUUCUCCUUUUUUGAUUUGUGCUCUUAGACAGACUUGCUCCACCUUCCAAAUGUACUUCCCCCAUGGUUGAUUUUUCAUUAUAGGAUUCAAUUUUUUUUUUCAUUAAGCAACUACAUCCAGUUUACUUUUUGUUUCUUUGUAGGAGGCUGGAAUAGGAACAAGUAUUGACUCUUUUUAUGAGUAUCUCUUAAAGGUAUGUGAUAACGGUUUCACUGUGUAGGAAGAUAUUUCCUGGGUUAACAUAGUAGCUCAAAAUAUUUUUCAGAAGUAAAUACAUAAUCAUGCUGAUACACAUAAUUCAAAUAAGCUUUUAUGAAAACUGGUUUGAUUGUCUGCAUGAGUCCUGCUCUUCCAUUCUGCCGUGUCUCAUUCCAUCAAUGGCUAGAGCACAUAAAUACAUAAAUACUUGCAGAAGAUCAGAUCAUAUAGGAUGGUUUUGAACAAUCAUUUACAGCUAAAAUAGUGGUAGGAUAUUCACGAUAAACAAAUGGGAGAAUCUUAGAUGAUGAAUAGUAAUUUAAUUUUGAGAAGCUUUUAUUGAAAAUUUCUUAUAUUUUCAGGCUUAUUUGUUAUUUGGUGAUGAGGAGUAUUUGUUCAUUUUCCAAGAAGCUUAUGCUGCUGCUAUGCACUAUCUUUUUAACGAUCCUUGGUAAAAGCUUGUGGCUAUCAUGCCCCUCUGCAUAAAUAUGUGUUUUGUGCAAAUGUUUGUAGCUCUAUAGAAUGGUCUAAUUCACAAUAUAUACUUUACUCCAUGGUAUUUAAAUCCUUCAAAUUUGAACAUUUAACUUUACAUGUCUUUUUAGGUAUGUAGAGGUAAAUAUGGAUUCUGCUGCUAUCGUCUGGCCAUUAUUUAAUAGUCUGCAGGCAUUUUGGCCAGGCCUUCAGGUUUUUGCUUUUUCUAUAUUCUGGCAUGUGAACCAUAAUAGUCGACUGUUAUAUUUAUGUUGAUUGGAAUUGCAUUUAUUUCUAAGGUUUUAGCAGGAGACAUUGAUCCUGCCAUUCGAACACAUGCUGCCUUCUUUAGCGUCUGGAAAAGAUACGGUUUCACUCCAGAAGGUUUUAAUCUUGCUACACUAAGUGUUCAGGUACCCCAAUCAUUAUUGGAAGCACAUGAAAGAUUUAAUAAGUAUUCCCAAUUUGAAUCACAUUUUAUAAGAUACUAUGGUAUCUUAGUUAUAUAGUAUGAGUUAGCAAGUUACUUUCAAAAAAAGAAUAGACAUCUUAUUUUGAUUUAUAGAAUGGGCAGAAGAGGUAUCCACUCCGUCCAGAGUUAAUAGAAAGCACAUAUUGGCUUUACAAAGCUACCAGAGAUCCCAGGUCAACAUAUGCUCUAAUUUCAUACUUCCUGAUGUAGCCAAGCAAAUGCAGUUUUGGGAACCUUUUUUUUAUUAAUUUCUUUUCUUGUAUCACAACUAUUUAGGAACUUUAUUUGGAGUUUUCUACAUAGGUAUAUAAGAUCCAGUAAAGACCAUAUCAUUAAAAUGAUAAAAUUAUGAACGGGUGUAAGGUCGAUGCACAAAGGAUGUUAGGCCCAAGUGAAAAAUUACAAGGACAACUAAAUAGUUGGUGCAUAAAGCACUUCAUUUUUGAUAGUGAAGAACUAUGAUGUUUCUUUUGGAUCAACAAUACCAUUAGCAUAUCCAUCUUGCUGGAUUCUGACUGUUAACUUCUGCUACAUUUACCUCUCCUCUGGGAGAGAAAUGUCAAUUUCAAGGAGAUAAUUUGGGGCCCUAGAAAUAUUUAAGGUGGGAAGUUGAGAAACUUUUCUCUUCGCAUGAGCUGCUUUUGAAAAUAAUUAACUAUACAAACAUUUUCUUUCUUUGGUUCAACCUUCCUACUUUAAUCAAUAUUGGAACUUUUGGGCUUUGCCAUAUAAAUGGACUCUGGAAGUUGGGAAUACAUACGGCCUUUAUGAUUAGGGUUUUUUUUUUUUUUUUCAAAUGAUUUUAAAAAUAAUUGAAAAAAAGAAAUUAAAGGACUAACACUGAAAUUAAAUAAAAAUUCUAUUUCUUUUCCAUUUUAUGGUAACUACACAAAAUAAUACAUUGUCAGUCGAUAUAUAGCUAAAGAGCUACAUUAUUUCAAAAAAGAAUUACACAGGUGAAUCAUCGUCAUCUUCUGCAACACGACGUCUUAUGAUUUCAAUUAUCUUGUUGAAUUUCUCUCCUAAUUUGCUGAUUAAACUGUAAAUCUUAUUCCUUGAAUUAUAUAUUACUUUAGUUAACAAGGAGGCCCAUAAGAUUAAAAUGAUCCAACCCAAAAUUGGGAGAACCAUAAGCACAAGUGUAACUACGGCCAAUCCAAGCGCAAAUAAGCCAACUUUGCUAGUAAUUGAAUUGAAGGAGUUCCAAGCUUGAAAGAUAGUUCCGAACCCAUAUGUGAGUAGAGCAACAAGAAAGAUUGGCAAUAUAAUGUGUGUGUCUGUAUCACCUAAAGGCUUGAGUUGAAUGAGGCCAAUUAAACUUGCUAUGAUCAAGGUGAAAACAUUAUGUACUGCAUUUAAAUUUUCCCUGAAAAGAAAAAUGAAAUAAAAAAACUAUUAGAAGGCUUUAGCACAUUUCAAUUUAACUAUAUAUAUAUUUGUAAUUGAUAAGGAUAAACAAAGUUGCAUAAAUUUUAUAGACUUAGCAAUAAUUGGAAAAUGGAUAAAAAUUUUGGAAGAGUUUUGAAUAAUCUUUCAUGAAUUGAAUAAAGAUUGAUGGCUUGAAAUGAUAGAGAAGUUAAACAAGUGUCCAGCCAUGAACACUGAAAAACUUGAAGAUACAAUAAAAAGUUUGCAACCCAAUAUUUAAUGAUACUUACAUUUUCUUUUAAAUUCAGAGGAGCUUGUUAGAGGAAGAUAGCAAUAUUAAAAAGUUUGCAACCCAAUAGGAAGAUAGAAGAGGAACUGUUGCUAGGAUUUUUUUUUUUUGAAGGUAAAAUGAGAAAUAUUUAUUACGAAAGCAAGAAAUCAAGUAGAAUAGGAGGUGGUACAGAAUUCCAAACCCCCAAGCCUGCUUCGGAAUGUGUUCCAACUGUCAACAUAUGUGCAGCAACAUUCGCAGACCUAUAAACAAAAUUACAUUGUGCGACUGGUAUCUCAGACAAAAGAGAUCUACAGUCCUGAAUUAUCCUGAAUUACAUUGUGUUCCAACUGUUGCUAGGAUAUAAAUACUAGGAGCUUCUUUGCACCCAUUUGCAUUUGUGCAAACGCUUAUUUGCACUACCACUUUUGCUCACUCGCUUAUUAGGGUAAGGAAUUGAGAGCGAAGCAGGGAAGAGGCCAUGGAAGGGUGAUUUACAAGAACCACUGACCGCACGCGCCUCAUCCACAUACAACCCAUCUCCAUUCUCCGAUUUCUCGUAACCCGAAAGUAUUACAUGUUCAUUUGAUGAAAAUAUAUAUUAACAUCGUCACAGCGACAAGAACUCAAGAUUUAAGUAAAGCGGAAAUUGUCAAUUUUUUAUGAUAAUUUCAGAAAAAUAAAAGAAAAAUUCAUCAGAUUUAAUUAAUUUAACUAAAUUCAGGAUUCAAUCAUUAUUGCAAGAAAGUGAACUGAUCAUUCAGAAUUUGAAAUAAUUCGUGGCACCUGUAUAGUAAUAGCAGAGCUUAAAACCAACAAAUGAAAAAAUAAAGGGAAAAAGAAAAAGGAAUGUUCUCACCAAUUUCAAGCGAUUAAUCAAAAUUUGAAGAGAUAGGUUCCUUUUUUUUUUUUCUUGAAUUGACCAAUUUCAGGCGUUUUUUCCUUUUUCAGAAGGGAGAGAAAUUGAGACGAAGAAGAAGAGAUCAAUAGAGAGGUAGUUAGUACUUAAUAUGAAGGAGAGGCGUGGUCGGGUCACGGAGAGAUAGUGAGAUGCGGGCGUUACCAUAUAAAUGGACUCUGGAAGUUGGGAAUACAUAUGGUCUUUAAGAUUAGGGAUUUUUUUUUCUUUUUUGUUUAUUUUUUCAAAUGAUUAUAAAAAUAAUUGAAUAAAUGAAAUUAAAGGAAUAACACUGAAAUUAAAUAAUAUUUUUAUUUUAAUGGUAACUAUACAAAAUAGCACAUUUACAAUCGAUAUGUAGCUAAAGAGCUACAUUAUCUCAAAAAAGAAUCACACAGGUAAAAUAUUGUGCUCUUCUGUAACACGACGUCUUAUGAUUUCAAUUAUGUUGUUAAAUCUCUCUCGUAGCCUGCUAAUUAAAUGGUAAAUCUCUUCAAGCGAAUCAUUUAUUACUUUUGCGCAUAAGGAGGCCCAUAAGAUUAAAAUAAUCCAACCAAAAAUUGGGACAAGGAGAAAGACAAGUGCAACUAUGGCCGAUCCAACAGCAAACAGGCCAACUUUGCUAACAAUUGAAUUGAAGGAGCUCCAAGCUUGAAAGAUAGUUCCAAACCCAUACGUGAACAGACCAACAAGAAAGAUUGUGAAUACAAAGUGUUUGUCUGUAUCAACUAAAGGCUUGAUUUGAAUGAGGGCAAUUAAACUUGCUACGGUGAAGGCGAAAACCUUGUGUACUGCAUUUAAAUUUUCCCUGAAAAGAAAAAUGAAAUAAAAAACUAUUAGAAGGCUUUAGCACAUUUCUCUUUAACUAUAUAUAUUUGUAAUUGAUACGGACAAACAAAGUUGCAUAAAUUUUAUAGACUUAGUAAUAAUUGCAAAAUGGAUAAAAAUUUUGGAAGAGUUUUGAAUAAUUUUUCAUGAAUUUUAAUAAAGAUUGAUAGCUUGAAAUGAGGAGAGAAGUGAAUAAAAUGCUGAAAAACUUGAAGAUACAAUAAAAAGUUUGCAACCCAAUAUUUAAUGAUGCUUACCUUUCGCUUGGCAUUCUUUUAAAUUCUUCGUGCUUGUUAGAGUAGAAGAGUAGCUGCAAUGACUAGAGAGCGAGUAGUGGCAUAUUAUAUUGACUUUCAUUCACUNNNNNNNNNNNNNNNNNNNNNNNNNNNNNNNNNNNNNNNNNNCUCGACUAACAUUUGUCAUUAUUGACAUUCGUUCCUCUCGUUUGAGUAACAAUCGCUAGAGCGCGAGUAAAAUCGCUCGACUAACAUUUGUCAUUGUUGACAUUUGUUCCUCUCGUUUGAGUAACAAUCGCUCGACUAACAUUUGUCAUUGUUGACAUUUGUUCCUCUCGUCGCGAGUAAAAUCGCUCGACUAACAUUUGUCAUUGUUGACAUUUGUUCCUCUCGUUUGAGUAACAAUCGCUAGAGAGCGAGUAGUGGCAUAUUUAUAUUGAGUAACAAUCGCUAGAGAGCGAGUAACGAUCGCCAGAGAGCGAGUAACAUUUGUCAUUAUUGACAUUUGUUCCUCUCGUUUGAGUAACAAUCGCUAGAGAGCGAGUAGUGGCAUAUUUAUAUUGAGUAACAAUCGCUAGAGAGCGAGUAGUGGCAUAUUUAUAUUGAGUAACAAUCGCUAGAGAGCGAGUAGUGGCAUAUUAUAUUGACUUUCAUUCACUGUUCCUCUCGUUUGAGUAACAAUCGCUCGACUAACAUUUGUCAUUAACUGUUGAUUUUUAUUAUAAUUUAAAAAAAUCAAUCACUUUUUUAAUUUUAGUAUAAAAACUUUAAAUGGUUUAUAUUUUAAAAUAAGGAAAAGAGUUAAAUCAAUGAAAAUAGACUAUAUAUCCAAUGAAAUUUCCUGUAAUAUAAAAACUGAUAAAUUUGGAAUCACUGCUGUUACCCGAAUACUACCCAGCUUGAACAUUUAAAAAAAAAAAAAAAAANNNNNNNNNNAGAAAAGAAAACCCGUAUAUAUAUUUUAUUAUGUGACUCUACAACAUGAUUUUGAAAAUUUGCAGCAGCACAACAACAGCAGCCAAGCCUUAGCCACAAACUAGUUGGGAAUUUGCACAAAUACACAAAAUCUUUUGUUUCCUUAUGGCUCUAUGCUAGAUAUAGAUAAUACUAAACUGAAUUCAAAAUGUCCUUUAGUAUCCUAAAGGGUUAAAAUCAAUCUUAAAUGACAAGAAGAAAACGCCAAUUCAUUUUGUUUGGAAUGCAAAAAUCCAAUUAAGAUAUUGUCAGAGAGAAUAAAUGUUUGUUUACUAAUGCAGCCUAAAUUUCAUAGAGAUUGGAACAUCCAUUGCAAAGACCCAGCAAAUGCAAGCAGAUAAAUUCAUAUGAACCAGCAAAUAGCAAUACAAGGAUAUCAGCAUUCAAAAUAAAAAAUUGCCACGUGUGAAAAUUGUGGCAUGAGAGGUUACUCACCAGUACUUAAUCAAGCCAUCCCAGCCGCAAGUUGCCACUUUGCUUUGCUCCAAUGGAUGCCACUCGCACCCAAUGCACACACCCUCAUGACACUUGUCCUGAAAACUUUACAACUCUUCCAGUCCCAAAACCAGCAUUUAGCCUCACCGUCUCCUGACAUAACAAACCGUUCAUCUGGUGAGAAAUUUACCUGGCAAGCAUAACCUGCCACAAUAUGCUCAGCAAACCGCUGGUGCACCUCUCCUAACUAUUGCAAUUUAGUUUCCUCUGAGAAACCUCAGGAGCAUUUGCUGGUGCACCAUAAUAUCUGCAGCUUUUAUGACAUUUUCAAUGUUCUGAAGUGGUUCUCACAUUCCCUGCAAAUACAUAUUUCAAAGCGAAUUAUUAGAAAUUAUUGGGCUAACUAAAAAUCUAUUUUCUCUCACUUAAACCAAGAUCUUUGAAAAAUAGGGAUUAAUACUUCAUGGAUGUAAUAACUCUCCUUCAAACAUCUAAUAGAGCUAGACUAGAGACACUUCAGCAAAAAAAAAUCCAUUACAAUAGCUGCAGCAAAACGAAUACAGAAACAUACAAGGGUUAGAAGGGUGUAAAUGCCCAUAGGUAGUGGAUAUGCAAUCUAGGAAUAGUAUUGUUGAAUGGUUGGGCAAGUAUUCCGAUCAAUGAAUAAGGAAACACGUGGACUUAAUUCCACAAAUUAUGUGUUUUUCUAUGUGACCAGGGAAUGCAUAACGACGACAAAAUGAAUGAAAUCUUCACUUUCUAUUUAUGUUGUCGAUAGAUAGUGAAAAUAACAUUGAAUUAUUAGAUGCCUUAGUGCUGGACUGAGCAAAGUCACUAACUGAGCCAAAUCUGAACUGAUUGGAAAAACUUCUGUUAAUAGAAAAUUUUCUAGAUCACAGACUUACCACAAAUACAACAUUUGUGAUGGAGCCAACUUCGCUCGUCACAAGACGUUGUGCAAAUACAACCUGGUCUACAAUCUCUGCAGUAGUCAGAUGUCUCUUCAAACCCAUCCUAAAAAUUGGAUUAUGCAUCAAGAAGAUGUACCUUGUAGAAAGUAACAAUAGCAAUAAUACAGAUACAAAUAAGAAAGAUAUAAAGCUUACAUGCCAGUGUAGGAGAACUGACAAUUCAUGGCACAGCCCACUUGACUUGAAACACAAACUGUCGUCCUACCUCUAUCAGAAGGUAUGACGACUGUUUCAAUUAACAGUUCAUCAUCCAACCUAAAUAAAAUCUGCAAGCUCCUGUGAGUUUCAAAACCAAUGAGAAGAUAAUGCAACUGCUAAAAGCAAUAUAUCGGACCAGAAUAAAGUGACUUCGAGACCAAAAAUACAACAAAUAAUGGUUUUGGCUACCUUCUUAGCUCCAUCAGAUGCAGUACGAACAUUUUCCAAAUAUAUUGCCUUAUAUUCUGCGUGUUCACUCAACAUUUUCCUAAAAUCCUUAUUCAAACCUGAAUAAGGUUAUCAAAGACAAAUUCAUAAGGCUCAGCAUGUCUCUCUUGUUGGAAGAGAGAUUCAAUUUUGCACAUAGAUAGGGACAUCAAAGGGAGAUAAAAUCAUUUAGCUCACUGAAAAGGCUAUAAAAUCAGACAAUAGAUAGCAUUUCAGAGACAAGGUGGUGUAAGAAUACCUUCUAGUUCAUCAACAUAAUGCGCCCAAAUAUCUUCCCCAUAAAGACGCUUAGCAUCAUAGCUUGGCCAGGUCUGAAUCCAUGAGAUUGAACCCAUUUCUGGCAUAGUGGAUUCCCACAAUUAUUACUUGGAAAACUUUAACAUAAAAUUAUACAUAAAUUCUCAUGUUUGGAAUAUUAGAAUUCAUUUUGAAUUUCUAGUCUAGCUAGCUUGUACCACAGUUUAAAAUUAAAUACUUUUUUGAGUUUAGCAUAGGAAGAAAAAGAGAGUAGAAAAAC